GACGAACGCUGGCGGCGUGCUUAACACAUGCAAGUCGAACGGAAAGGCCUGCUUUCCCUUGUGGAUUGCGGGUACUCGAGUGGCGAACGGGUGAGUAACACGUGAGUGAUCUGCCCCCAACUUGGGUAUAAGCCUGGGAAACUGGGUCUAAUUCCCGAUAGGACUGCAGGGUGGUGCCUGUGGUGGAAAACGAUUUUCUAGUGGUUGGGGAUGAGCUCGCGGCCUAUCAGCUUGUUGGUGGGGUAAUGGCCUACCAAGGCGGCGACGGGUAGCCGGCCUGGGAGGGUGGACGGCCACAUUGGGACUGAGAUACGGCCCAGACUCCUACGGGAGGCAGCAGUGGGGAAUAUUGCACAAGGGGCGGAAGCCUGAUGCAGCGACGCCGCGUGGGGGAUGACGGCCUUCGGGUGGUAAACUCCUUUCGACCGCGAGGAAGCCACCUGGUUGGAAGGGUGGUGACGGUAGUGGUAGAAGAAGCACCGGCUAACUACGUG
rnacentral:rRNA from 1 species